rnacentral:rRNA from 1 species
UAAGCGGAGGAAAAGAAACUAACAAGGAUUCCCCUAGUAACUGCGAGUGAAGCGGGAAAAGCUCAAAUUUAAAAUCUGGUGGUCUUUGGCCGUCCGAGUUGUAAUUUAGAGAAGCGUCUUCCGCGCUGGACCGUGCACAAGUCUCCUGGAAUGGAGCGUCAUAGAGGGUGAGAAUCCCGUCUUUGGCACGGACACACCAGGGCUUUUGUGAUGCGCUCUCGAAGAGUCGAGUUGUUUGGGAAUGCAGCUCAAAAUGGGUGGUGAACUCCAUCUAAAGCUAAAUAUUGGCGAGAGACCGAUAGCGAACAAGUACCGUGAGGGAAAGAUGAAAAGCACUUUGGAAAGAGAGUGAAACAGUACGUGAAAUUGUUGAAAGGGAAACGCUUGAAGUCAGUCGCGUCGACCGAGACUCAGCCUUGCCUUGGCUUGGUGUACUUCUCGGCUGACGGGUCAGCAUCAAUUUUGCCCCUUGGAUAAUGGUGAGGGAAAUGUGACACCUUUACGGUGUGUUAUAGUCUCUUGUCGCAUGCAAGGGUCGGGAUUGAGGAACUCAGCACGCGCCUUUGGGCGUCGGGGCUUUGCCCACGAUACGUGCUUAGGAUGUUGGCAUAAUGGCUUUAAACGACC